GCCCGUAUAGUUUAGAGGUAUAACAUCUCACUUGUAAUGAGAAGGUCCGUCGUUCGAUUCGGCGUGUGGGCA
rnacentral:tRNA from 1 species